ACCAACUGUCACUGGGUGACAGAAUCCUUUGGAAGGCUUCAGCUGUUAACAGUUUAGAAUGUCACUGUUCCCAGGAGCCUUUGCACUGAACAGUGGAGAUGCGGUGGGCAGGUGUGGAGGGGUAAAAGAGGUGAGGGUGAGAAUCUUUACCCACCAGUGACAUUUACUCUGAUUAGAGAAUUUAGGCAGGACAGGCUGGGCCAGGGAGCCCUUCAGAGGUGUCACUAAGCUAAUAUGUGCCGUAAAGUGUGGAAGGGAGGCAGCAAUGCUUUCCAGAGAGUUUCACUCUUGUCGCCCAGGCUGAGGCAAUCUCAGCUCACUGCAACCUCUGCCUCCCAGGUUCAAGUGAUUCUCCUGCCUCAGUCUCCCAAGCAGCUGGGAUUACAGGAGCCCACCACCAUGCCUGGCUAAUUUUUGUAUUAGAGGUUUCACCAUAUUGACCAGACUGGCCUCGAACUCCUGAUCUCAAGUGAUCCAUCUGCCUCGGCCUCCCAAAGUGCUGGGAUCACAAGCGUGAGCCAUCAUGUGUGGCCAUGUCUCUUCCUUUCAAGAUGGAAGGUUUCUGAACUACGUGCUGGCAAGAAUGUGGCUGACAAUAAGGAGACCUGGAUCUGCCUCCAGGGGUGCUGGAGGAGCAGGGCCCUCAUGCAGGGUUAGGAGAUGCACAGAAUUCAGGGCCUCCAGGUGACAGCAGAACCUGAAUGGACUGCUCAUGGAGGAAGAAGCCCUGAUGGAGUCCAGAAACUCACAUUCCAUUCUGACUUCUUCACCAUUCAGCUAUGCCGUCAUGGGCACAUCACUUAGCCUCACUGGCAUUCAGUUCCCUCAGUAGUAAAAUAUGGCAAGGUAAAGGGAAGGACCAACAAUUUAUCUUCACUUACAACUCUGAGUUAUCAUUUUAUGAAAAAAAAAUAUGUUGGCUGGGAGUGGUGGCUCAUGCAUGUCUGGAAUCUGAGCACUUUGGGAGGCUGAGACAGGAGGAUUACUUGAACCAGGAGUUCAAGACCAGCAUGAGCAACAUAGUGAGACCUUGCCUCUGCAAAAAACUAAAAACAUGUCACCAUAUUUCCACUAGAGGUCAAGAAGAAUAGGGCUGUUUUUAGCCUAAAAAUCAGGACAAUUAACUCAUCUAAAAUGAGUUAAGUGUUUUGUAAUAAUCAUCUCAUAUAUCAGAUAGGGCUUUAAACUUCAUAGUGAGUUUUUAUAUUUUUUGUUCUUUCAGUAACUGUGGCAGAGAGGUUGCCAAUAUCCAUUCUCCUACUCUCCCCUAUCAAUCUUAUUAGAAAUGGCAAUAUGGCCAGGCAUGGAGGCUCAGGCUGAAAUCCCAACUCUUUGGAAGGCCAAAGCGUGUAGACUGCUUGAGCCUAGGGGUUGGAUAGCAGCCUGGGCAACACAGGGAGAUCCCUGUCAAAAAAAGAAGGAAAGAAGGGCCGGCACUAUGCCCAGUUAAAAACUACAUUCCCAGCCUCUUUUGCAGCUAGAUAAUGACCAUGUGACUAAGUUCUAGCCAAAAAGCUAUAAGCAGAAGUGUCAUUUAGGAAGCCUCCCUCAAGGAAGAGAAUACAUGCUUAGCGCUCUUCAUUCUCUGCUGGCUGAAUGAGAAUAAGACAUCUGAAACCCAGGCAGCCAUAUGGGACUAUGAGAUAAGGUGCCAAGAGUGCUGGUGCGGCAAGACAGAGGGAUCAUGGGUCCCCAGCACAAGGAGCCACCUUCCCAGUCCUGGGCAAUCCUCCCUUUGCACUUCUUUGGCAUAAGAGAAAAAUCACUUCUAACUUGCUAAACAACUAUUAUUUUUGUUUUCUUGUUCCAUGUAAUCAAACCUAAUCCUAACUGAGAAAGCAGUGAUCUGCUUUAUGGAAGACCCUGUGCUAGGUGCUGCAGGGGAUGCCAGAGAAUAUGGGCUUUAGAUAUACAGAGACUUGGGCAAGAACAUUCUGUCUAGGGGCGAAAGAAGUGCCCAGAAGAGUUUGGUGUGGCAUGAAGAGGACUCAUGGGAGAUGUGGUGAGGGAGUAUGAUGGAAGGUUCUUGAAUGCCAGGCUAAUGAGGCUGGAGUCCAUCUUGUGACAGACAGAGCAGAUAACCUUGUUCCAAUGUACAAAUGGAGAAGCCCAGGCCUCAAUAGGUUGAAGGACUUGUCCAGGGUCACCCAGCCAGGGAGUGGCAGAGCCCAUCUCAAUUCUCCUGAUCCUUCAAUUCUGUGCUCUUUGAGAGAAUCUGAGGCAGACGGAGUAAGAAUAGAGGUUUCACACUUUGACCCACCCUCAUCACACCCCAUCAUGUUCAAGAGGGGGGCUUUGGGGGUUGCCAGAAGUCUAGGAUCUGGACCUAUCUUUAACUCAGAGCUCCCUGCUGGGCCUCCCGUGUAGCUCCCCUUCACAAGGCCAUAAUAGCCAGGGUGCUAUCCCACUAUGUAAUAAGUACCAAUGAGUCUGUCACAGUGCUGGGUGCUUUAGGUACAUGAUCUAAUUUACUGCCCUCAGCAGCCUAAAAUAUUUUUUAAAAACAUUUUACAAGUGAAGAUGAAGAAACUGAAGAUCUAAGAAAUGAAGCCACCUACUCAAAGCCACUCAGUCGAUAGCAAAGUGGAUACAAAGCCAUGUUUGUUCAACUCCAAAGGUAAGUUCCUAGCACCACAUUCUAAUGUCUUCCUGAUCCUCACCAAAGCAUGUAACAGUCUCCUGUCCCUGUUCAGACUCCCAAGGACUUACCUGGUUUGAUGGGCUGACCUGGCCAGGGACCUCCUAUGAGGCUCCGGCUGGUUACGUUCUACCUGGAGCCAGGAGCCAGUUUCCCUCCAGCAAUCACAUCACUCAUGCCCUGCCCAUGACCCCACAUGGGUCUGGGACCUCCUGGAGAGGGGGCAGGCCCCUGCCUUCUGUGGCCUCAGUCUUCCUGGAACUCUUACUUUUGGCUGAUCAUGGGGCAGGGGUGUCAGAGUUUCUUCAAUCUAGGUUCUAGAGCUCACAGAUUCCAGAGAGCUGUUUCCUGGGAUUGGGGGUAUUUUUUGUGUCCUGAUUGGCUGUCAUGGUUAGAAUGCAUUCAUUAUGAAUCGAGCUGACAUUCUUUUGGGAAACAACUGGUCAUUAGAACUGAAUCUUCUCUCAUUACCAGCAUUUGGAAAGUUGAGUUUCAUUUUGUCGGUCAUUCAGUGCAUCUUUGCAAUAAUGUGGUAUGUCUAGCAUUCCAGCAUGAACCACAGAUUUCCCCAAGUAGACCAUACAGCUUUCUUUUGGAACUUUCACAGGAAACACCCUGAGAUGUAGCCUGCAGAGCUGAAGGCAACAGAUGAACCUCAGCCCCUCUGUAUUCAUUGCCCAACUCUGAGAGGUCCAGAACUUUGCCCUCAGUUGUCACCAGCCCACACAUUCCUGUCUGGCACAGCCUCCCUUCCCAUUGGCCAAACUCUCAGUAUUCCUUUUCGAGCUCCACCUGUCUCACCCCUACACCCUUUCCCUUAAUCAGGCUGAAGUUGGAAUGUGUUCACCCAAUUUUAUUAUAACUACAUAUAUUCAGCUUAGUCUAAGCUUUAGCAGAUUUUCAUAGUUAUUAAUGGAAUAUUAUCUAUUUCCUUAUAAACACUGUAAUCAGCAUUCCCAUUCUCAAAUGCACUAUUUAAAGUAUCUGAAGAUCAGACACUUUGAGUAAUUUAAAUUUAUGACAAAGUUUUCUGAAGAUAUAAGCAGAUUCUGUUAGAUACAGAUGCACAUACAAUUCUUACAACACUUUCAGGCACUGUAGAGUGAUCAAAAUAUCUGACCAGAGCCUGUCACUGUACCUCGUAGACAUUCUUACAAACAGCUCUUAUCUAAUCCUCAUAACCCAUCACCUGUCACCCAUAAGUGACACUUAAACCAUUAGAUCCACAUGAUUACUGAAUGCUUGCUUCUUCAUUGGUUACAGGAAUCUCGUGAAAAUCUUGUCUUCAUAUUAUAUAGCAAGACUUUGGGCUUAGGCAUACUUCUAGGACAAAUAAGCAGUUAAUGACCAUGAAAGGCCUUUGAACCCCAUGUAGCCCUGCACGUAUGCAAGCUGCUCUUUUAGGUGGAUCCUCCCAGGGUGGCUCUUCAAUGACUGUGUACUGAAUUGGACAUGAAUAUAGCCGAUAGACAGCAUUAGGGACUCAUCCUCUGGCCCCAGAGGCCCAUGAAAGAGUGUCCAGGCAGGACAGACUAUGCUGGGAAGGGGGAAGGCCUGGACCCUCAUUGAGUGGAAAGGAACCCAAAAGGAAGGGAAAUCCAUCAACAUCCUGUGAACUAAAUAGACAGAAAUUCUGUUUAGGAAAAAAACCAUGAUAAAUAAAAUUCCUGAGUGCAGCUGCUAAGUCAAGGAGCACCAUACACAUCCUCUUCUGCAAGAGAAUGAGAAGAUGGAGCCACAGCUCCCAUCCCAUAUCUGCAUCUGGCGUGGCCUUCCCACCAUAGGCCAUGGGUCAGACCUGGCUCCACAGGCAAAGGGGCUGCUUAGGCCAGACCUGAAAUAGGCUGAGUGGAAACCUGCAAGCCCCUUCUGCCUCCCUGUGCAUGGAAAGGAACUGUCAGUGAGUUUGGAGAUCUCUGCCCUUGUCAGAGGAAGGUGUCCUAAUCUCAAGGCAGGGCAGGUGUCUGUGGCCGAGAGCUGAGCAGAGAACAAGCAGCCAGUGGAGGCUUUCAUCUGAACUGUGCAGCCCUUACCUGACUGGGAAGCACAAGUGAUAAUUAGUAGCAAGUUACUUUAUGUAAAGCCUCUCUAUUUUUGUGUGCUAUAUUUAGAGAAACAAACUGCUUUGGCAUUUAGAGAUGAAUUUUAUGUAAGAGUUUGUUGCUGCUGCUGCUGUUGUUACUGUUCAUCAUCCAGAUAAUAAAAGCAAACUAGAAAUACUCAAAUGCCAGUGCCACCACCAAAUAUAUAAAAUAUGUCAUAGGCCCCUUUCAGUCAUCCUAUUCUUAACUUUUAGGAAGAGCCUUUGUCAUAAUCUGAUGCUUGACAAAAUGUUUUCCAUCCUUGUAUCACCUCCACCCCCUGCUUCCCCAUUAGGAUUUUGCAAGUGCAUUUGAUUGUAACAACCUAACUCACCAGGUGGCGUUGGGCCAGUCCCUACUGCACUGGGUCUCACCAGCUGGAUGCAGGACCUCUCAGUUUCUCUCCCACUGUGGAGACUUUUUCAUCUCCAUGAGUCCAUAACCAGUGAUCCCAUUAGGAAACAAUGCAGUUUCUAGAAUUUUGUGUCUGUAGGGAACAUCCACUUCUGGCUGAACUGUCCCUAAAUGCCGCUAACACAGAGCUUCCAAACUUUCAAGCCUCAAUAAUGGCUCCAAGGAAUUCAGUGUUCUGAAUUCUGCACCAAAUGAAUUCUGGAGCUACAUGAAGGGGCCUGGACAGGCAUUAGUUGGCUUGGUUCAAAGAAGGAAAUUGACCCAUUGCCUUUUUCCUGUUUUCCCUUGCAGUGGCCUCCAGGGCUGCUGUUUCUGGACAUCUCCCCAAACCCCUACCACCAUGUUAUCACCACUCUGAGAGUCCAGGCCCUUGGGUGGUCCACAAUUGCUCACCAUGCCUGGCCUUUCUCCAGCCCUCUCUCUCCUUGCCUGCUGAGAAGCUCCUUCUUAUGGAAGCUGCUCUUAGGUAGGGAGUUAGCCACACUCAGGCAUAAUACUUCCUAAAGAAUUUAAGUGCAUAUGUCUUAGGGAGGAGAAAAAAAAUCAAUUAAGCUUCCAAAGAAAUUAGAGUAGUAGAACUUAUGGCAUAAGUGAUAAACAGAGGUGGAAACGUUUUAUGGCAUGAAAGCCUUCCAGCACAAAAUUUUUGGAUUUGGGUGUGCCUCUACUCUUUUUUUUUUUUUUCCCCCAACCAUGUGGUCUUGGGAAAUUUAUUUAGCCACUGUGAAAGUCAAUGUCUGUGACUAAAAUGGCUAUGGAGCCAUGGACUCACAAGAUAACGUGAAAGAGCUUGCGAAUUGUAAAGCUCAGCACAGACCUCAAAGUCCAUGCCCUGCCCCCAGCACCCUGCCUCCUCCUCUGCCGGGGUGUCAUCUCCAUCUCGGCCCUGACACUCAGAGCCCUGGCAAGAAGAGGGAGGAUGUGCACCAGCGCUUUCCCCUCCAACCUUCCCACACUGCGUGCCCUCCCCACCUCCCAACUCACCACAGGGAUCUCCAAAUGUUGCUUUGUGUAUGUGGAUUUUUCCCCCCAAGAACACUCCAAAUUUCUGGAAUCCACAGGCUGAAUUUCACCACAGGGUUUCUGACACCGCCUUUGAAAGGACAACGGGACUCUGUGCCAGAGCGGAAGGGAGGAGGGUCUGUGUGGAGCUUUUCUACGUCAUGGCUAAAAUCAGGGGACCUGUGGACCUUGCUGCUGCUGCUUUUUUUUUUUAACCUAUCAAAAAACAUGUCCCUUCUAACAAUAUUCACAGAAUCUCUCAGCUUCCCCCACCCAAAGACUGGGCAGUGUGACGACGGGCUUGGUCCAAUAUUACAAUCAAGCAGCACUUGGAAUGGAUUCCCACAUGUGGAGGCCAGUCAGAAGGCACCCCGCCAGCCCCAAAAAGAGUAGACACAGAAUCCUGCUCUGUCAUACGGUGACAUGAUCUCAUCUAACUGCAACCUUUGCCUCUGGGGGGAUUCAAGCAAUUCUCCUGCCUCAGCCUCCUGAAUAACUGAGACUAUAGGCACAUACCACACCCAGCUAAUUUUUGCAUUUUUAGUAGAGGUGGAGUUUCACCACGUUGCCCAGGCUGCUCUCAAACUCCUGGCCUCAAGUGAUCCACCCACCUUGGCCUCCCAAAGUGCUGGGAUUACAAAUGUGAGCCACCAUGCUUGGCCCAUUUGACAUUCUUAAUGAAUGCCUUAGGACAUAGAACACAUCCAUUUCUUCCCUCAAGGAGUUUACAGUCAUUUUGAGAACAUAAGAAAUGAAUUCAUGAAGAAAAAGUUAAGUUGCAACAAGUGUGGGCAGAACAGAGAAGUGGAGAAAGAGGCUCCUCAAUGUGGAGCUGAUCAGGGAGGCCUUCAUGGAGGAGGCAGGGCCUACAAGCUCCUGGGAGGAACUAGGUGUGAAGCCUCUUGAUUCUAUUAUUCCAUUCCUUGGCAGAACAGAGAAAUAGUCCAGUGACACUGAGGAGUAGGAUUUAUCAGUCAGUUGCUUGGGGACUUAAUCUCUGAAGUUUCCUCAAAGUGGAAAAGAAGGUUAUCAAGGACCCAGUGUCUUCAGGAUCCAGUGUCCCUAGGCCCCUUGGGGCUCAGCCCAACAGACAGAAGCAUGUUCUUCACAGGCACUAGUUCAGUUAGAAUAGUGGCUGUCUGCCACAUCAGACUCAGUGUGCCUUCUUAUAACACAAGACUCCAUCUUGGAAAAAACCAAACAAAUGCAAACAAACAAGCAACACGUAACUUGUAACUCUCCUUUUGUUAUGCUCAAAUGAAACCCAUAGAUAAUAUAUCUACCUACACACAAAAUUUCCUCCCCAAAUUCAUAAUAUCAAAAAAAUGUAAUGCACUCACUGUGUUAUAAUCAAGAAACAAAAUCAAUUUUAUAGAAAAAUAAGCAUUUCAGGAUCCCAAGAUGGCUGAAUAAGAGGCAGUUCCGGAAAGCAGUUCCCAGCGAGAGAGAUGCAGAAACUGAGUGGUCUCCACAAUUCCAAAUGAGGUACCAGGCUAAUUCUCCGGGUCUGGUUGGACAGUGGGUAUAAACCAAAUAGGGCAAGUUGAGGCAAGGCGGGGCACUGCCCCACCCAAGAGGUGCAUGUAACCGACUGGAGGACCAGGGGAUCUCCCGCUUUGGAACCUCUGUUCGGAUACAGCACUCCACCCAAGCCCUCUACAACCCACAGAACAGGAGGUCUUUGCAGGGCUGAAAAGCUUCAGCUAGCUGCCUGAACAGGGCAGAACAGCAACUUCAGCCAGUGCGGGGGCUGUCAGCAUACUUCUAUGUGGAAGCAUUGGCUGAUCUGAAAGCCAGAAAGCCGGCUGGAUGGAGCCAUCCACCCCCAGAAAGAAGGGGAACUGAAAACAGGGAAACAGCCCAUAGGGCAAGAUGGGUCCCCCGACCUGGGCAAAGCCCAGCAGGCUAAAAUACUCUUACUCAGAGUUUCGCACUCAGAACAUCAGUUUGGUAGCAAUCAGGAAUGAUCGAGCUCGGUGCGGGGAAGGGAAGCCACCAUUGCAGAAGCCCACCUAAUCACCUAAUUUUCCUGAGUAAAUAAAAGAUGCAGCAGCUCCACUGAAUUGGUGGCAGCCCAGCAGCGCCUCUGAAGGCAGACAAAGGAAAGGCCACCUCCCUAAGCAGCUACCUGAGAUCAAAACUAUCUAAAUCCAAGAGAUGGGGAGAAACCAGUGAAAGAAUGAAACCAUCAAAAACCAGAACAUCUCUCCCCCACCAUGAGAUCACAACUCCUCACCAGCAAGGGAACAAAGCAGGACAGAGAACGAAUUUGAUGAAUUGACAGAAGCAGGCUUCAGAAGGUAGGUAAUAACAAACUUCUCUAAGUUAAAGGAACGUGUUCUAUUCCAAUGCAAAGAAACUAAAAACCUUGAAAAAAGCUUCGAAGAAAUGCUAACUAGAGUAACCAGCUUAGAGAAGAACAUAAAUGACUUGAUGGAGCUGAAAAACACAGCACAAGAACUUCGAAAAGCAUAUACAAGUUUCAAUAGCUGAAUAGAUCGAGCAGAAGAAAGGAUAUCAGAGAUUGAAGAUCAACUCCAUGAAAUAAAAUGAGAAGGCAAGAAAACAGAACAAAGAGUGAAAAGAAAUGAACAAAGCCUUCAAGAAAUAUGGGAUUAUGUGAAAAGACCUAAUCUAUGCUUGAUUGGUGUACCAGAAGAUGACAGGGAGAAUGAAUCCAAGCUGGAAAACACUCUUCAGGAUAUUAUCCAGGAGAACUUCUCCAAUCUAGCAAGGCAGGCCAACAUUCAAAUACAGGAAAUACAGAGAACACCGCAACGAUACUCCUCUAGAAGAGCAACCCCAAGGCACAUAAUCAUCAGAUUCACCAGGGUUGAAACAAAGGAAAAAAUACUAAGGGCAGCCAGAGAGAAAGAUCAUGUCACCCACAAAGGGAAGCACAUCAGACUCACAGCAGAUCUCUUGGCAGAAACCCGACAAGCCAGAAGAGAGUGGGGGCCAAUAUUGAACAUCCUUAAAGAAAGAAUUUUCAACCCAGAAUUUCAUAUCCAGCCAAACUAAGCUUCAUAAGUGAUGGAGAAAUAAAAUCCUUUAUGGACAAGCAAUUGCUGAGAGAUUUUGUCACUACCAGACCUGCCCCACAAGAGCUCCUGAAGGAAGCACUAAACACAGAAAGGAAAAGCCAGAACCAGCCACUGCAAAAAAGAACCAAAUGGUAAAGACCAAAGAUGCAAUAAAGAAAUUACACCAACCAAAGGACAAACCAGUAAUAAAAUGGGAGGAUCAAAUUCACACAUAACGAUAUUAACAUUAAAUGUAAAUGAACUAAAUGCCCCAAUCAAAAGAUGCAGACUGGCAAAUUGGAUAAAAAGCCAAGAAUCAUCAGUGUGCUGUAUUCAGGAGGCCCAUCUCACAUGCAAAGACACACAUAGACUCAAAAUAAAGGGAUGGAAGAAGAUUUAUCAAGCAAAUGGAAAGCAAAAAAAAGCAGGGGUGGCAAUCCUAGUCUCUGAUAAAAUGGAUAUUAAACCAACAAAAAUCAAAAGAGACAAAGAAGGGCAUUGCAUAAUGGUAAAAGGAUCAAUACAACAAGAAGAGUGAACUAUUCUAAAUGUAUAUGCACCCAAUACAGGAGCACCCAGAUAUAUAAAGCAAGUUCUUAAUGACAUACAAAGAAACUUAGACUCCUGCACAAUAAUAGUGGGAGACUUUAACACUCCACUGUCAAUAUUAGAUAGACCAACGAGAAAGAAAAUCAACAAGGAAAUCCAGGACUUGAAAGCAGAUCUGGACCAAGUGAACUUGAUAGACAUUUACAGAACUCUCAACCCCAGAUCCACAGAGUAUACAUUCUUCUCAGCACCACAUCAUAGUUACUCUAAAAUCAACCACAUAAUUGGAAGUAAGUCACUCCUCAGCAAAUACAAAAGAGUGGAAAUUAUAACAGUCUCUCAGACCACAGGGCAAUCAAAUUAGAGCUCAGGAUUAAGAAACUCACUCAGAACCACAUAACUUCAUGGAAACUGAACAACUGACUCCUGAAUGUCGACUGGAUAAACAAUGAGAUAAAGGCAGAAAUAAAGAUGUUAUUCGAAACCAAUGAGAAUGAAGACACAACAUACCAGAAUCUCUGGGACACAUUUAAAGCAGUGUCUAGAGGGAAAUUCAUAGCAACAAAUGCCCACAUGAGGAGGAAGGAAAGGUCUAAAAUCAACACCCUAUCAUCAAAAUUGAAAGAGUUAGAGGAGCGAGAUCAAAAAACUCAAAAGCUAGCAGAAGACAAGAAAUAACUAAGAUCAGAGCAGAACUGAAAAAGACAGAGACACAAAAAAUCCUUCAAAAAAUCAACAAAUCCAGGAGCUAGUGUUUUGAAAACAUCAACAAAAUAGAUAGACCACUAGCCAGACUAAUAAAAAAGAAAAGAAAGAAGAAUCCAGUAGAUGCAAUAAAAAACAAUAAAGGGGACAUCACCACUGAUUCCACAGAAAGACAAACCACCAUCAGAGAUUACUAUAGACAACUCUAUGCACACAAACCAGUAAAUCUGGAAGAAAUGGAUAAAUCCCUGGACACUUACAGUCUUCCAAGACUAAACCAGGAAGAAGUUGAAACCCUGAAUAGACCAAUAACAAGGGCUGAAGUUGAGGCAGAAAUUAAUAGCCUACAAACUAAAAAAAGCCCAGGUCCAGACAGGUUUACAGCCAAAUUCUACCAGACAUACAAAGAGGAGUUGGUACCAUUCCUUCUGAAACUAUUCCAAACAAUCCAAAAAGAAGGAAUCCUCCCCAGCUCAUUUUAUGAGACCAACAUCAUCCUAAUACCAAAACUGGGCAGAGAUGCAACAAAAAAAGAAAACUUCAGGCCAAUAUCCAUGAUGAACAUCAACACAAAAAUUAUCAAUAAAAUACUGGCAAACAGAAUGCAACAGCAAAUCAAUAAGCUUAUUCAUCAUGAUCAAGUAGGCUUCAUCCCAGGGAUGCAAGGCUGGUUCACCAUACACAAGUCUAUAAAUGUAAUCCAUCAUAUAAACAGAACGAAAGACAAAAACCUCGUGAUUAUCUCAAUAGAUGCAGAAAAGGCCUUUGACAAAAUUCAACAGCCCUUUAUGCUAAAAACCCUCAAUAAACUAGGUAUCAAUGGAACUAUCACAAAUUAAUAAAAGCUAUUUAUGACAAACCCACAACCAACAUCAUACUGAACAGGAAAAACCUGGAAGCAUUCCCUUUGAAAUCUGGCAUAAGACAAGGAUGCCCUCUCUCACCACUCUCAUUCAAUAUAUCAUUGGAAGUUCUAGCCAGAGCAAUCAGGCAAGAAAAACAAAUAAAGGUAUUCAAUUAGGAAAAGAAGAAGCCAAAUUAUCUCUGUUUGCAGAUGACAUGAUUGUAUAUUUAGAAGACCCCAUUGUCUCAGCCCAAAAUCUCCUGAAACUGAUAACUGCAGCAAAGUCUCAGGAUACAAAACCAAUGUGCCGAAAUCACAAGCAUUCCUAUACACCAAUAACAGACAAACAGAGAGCCAAAUCAGAAGUGAACUCCCAUUCACAAUUGCUACAAAGAGAGUAAAAUACCUAGGAAUACAACUAACAAGGGAUAUAAAGGACCUCUUCAAGGAGAACUACAAACCACUGCUCAACCAAAUAAGAGAGGCCACAAACAGAUGGAAAAACAUUCCAUGCUCAUGGCUAGGAAGAAUCAACAUCAUGAAAAUGGCCAUACUGCCCAAAGUAAUUUAUAGAUUCAAUGCUAUACCCAUCAAGCUACCUAUGACCUUCUUCACAUAACUGGAAAAAACCACUUCAAACUUCCUAUGUAACCAAAAGAGAGCCUGCAUAGCUAAAACAAUCCUAAGCAAAAAGAACAAAGCUGGAGCUAUCCUGCUGCCUGACUUCAAACUAUACUAUAAGGCUACAGUAAUCAAAACAUCAUGGUACUGGUACCAAAACAGAGAUGUAGACCAAUGAAACAGAACAAAGGCCUCAGAAGCAACACCACACAUCUACAAUCAUCUGAUCUUUGACAAAUCUGAGAAAAACAAGCAAUGGGGAAAGGAUUCCCUGUUUAAUAAAUGGUGUUGGGAAAACUGGCUAGCAAUGUGCAGAAAGCAGAAACUGGACCCCUUCCUGACACCUUACACUAAAAUUAACUCCAGAUGGAUUGAAGAUCUAAACAUAAGACCUAACACCAUAAAAAUCCUAGAAGAAAACCUAGGCAAAACCAUUCAGGACAUAGGCAUAGGCAAGGACUUCAUGGCUAAAACACCAAAAGCAAUGGCAAAAAAAGGCAAAAUAGACAAAUGGGAUCCAAUUAAACUCCAGAGCCUCUGUAUAGCAAAGGAAGCAAUCAUUAGAAUGAAAUGGCAACUAACAGAAUGGGAAAAAAAUUUUGCAAUCUACCCAUCUGACAAAAGCUAAUAUCCAGAAACUACAAAGAAGUAAAACAGAUUUACAAGAGAAAAACAAACAAACCAAUUCAAAAGUGGGUAAAGGAUAUGAACAGACACUUUUCAAAAGAAGACAUCUAUGAGGCCAACAAACAUAUGAAAAAAUGUUUAUCAUCACUGGUCAUUAGAGAAAUGCAAAUCAAAACUACAUUGAGAUACCAUUUCACACCAGUUAGAAUGGCGAUCAAUAAAAAAUCUGGAGACAAUAGAUGCUGGAGAGGAUGUGGAAAAAUAGGAACACUUUUACACUGUUGAUGGGAGUGCAAAUUAGUGCAACCAUUGUGGAAGACAGAGUGGCAGUUCCUCAAGGACCUAGAAAUAGAAAUACCAUUUUACCCAGCAAUCCCAUUAUUGAGUAUAUACUCAAAUAAUUAUAAAUUGUUCUAUUAUAGAGACACAUGUACAUCUAUGUUCAUUGUGGCACUGUUUACAAUAGCAAAGACCUGGAACCAACCCAAAUAUCCAUCAAUGAUAGUCUCGAUAAAGAAAAUGUGGCACAUAUACACCAUGGAAUACUAUGUAGCCAUAAAAAAAGAUGAGUUCAUGUUCUUCAUAGGGACAUGGAUGAAUCUGGAAACCAUUAUUCUCAGCAAACUGACACAAGAACAGAAAACCAAACACUGCAUGUUAUCACUCAUAGGAUUAAACAAUUAGAACACGUGGACACAGGGAGGGGAGCAUCACAUACUGUGGUCAGUUGGAGGUGGCUAGGGGAGGGAGAGUGGGGGGUGGGGAGGGCAGAGAGGGUUAACAAGGGGAGAAAUGCCAGAUAUAGGUGAUGGGGGGGAUGAAGGCAGCAAACCACCUUGCCAUGUAUGUACCUAUGCAACAAUCUUGCAUGAUCUGCACAUGUACCCCAGAACCUAAAGUACAAUUAAAAAAAAAUAAAAAUAAGCAUUUCGGUAUCUGAAAAAACUUGUACAUGACUGCACUGGAAAACCUAUUGAGUAGUUAGAUGUCUGCACCUAUGUAUAGAGUCACCAUGAAUGCAAUAGCUAUAAAUGCAUACAGAUCACAUGUGUUGUUAGGAUGGCCCAAACACUGUGAUUAGCAUUGCCAUUCAUAACAUGAUUUUCCAAAAUGGUGAGCAGUCUUCAUAAAGUCCUGAACAAAUAUGCAUCAUCUUCACUCUAGACGGCAUUCCUGAAAAAUUCACUGUAUGUUAAAACUGCAAAAAAAGAAAAUCCUCUGUGUUUCUAUAUAAAAUGGGGUUGGAUGCUAGAUCUAACUAAGCAUUAACAGGUUUUCAUGGACAUAAACAUCGAGUGGGACAUUUGAAAGUCAUGAGGGGCAGUCACUUGUGAUGUGGAUGGUCCUGACCACUGCAGAGCAUCUGACAUCCCCACUCCUGUCCACUAAAUGUCAGCAGCAUCCCACAUUCAUUGUGGUAACAAACUGUGAUAGUAACAAAUGCCUCCCUUAAUUUCCAAAGAUACCUCUUAACGGGUAGAACCUCCCUCACUGGGAAUCCUGAGUUAGUGGCAGGGGUGUGUGUGUGUGUGUGUGUGUGUGUAGGUUAGGUGUGCCUUCCAACAGCUGGAGUUGAGAGUGACCUGAUCACCCUAUUGCUCCCUGUGAUGGUUAAUUUCAUGUGUCAAUUUGACUGGGUUCUAGGGUGCCCAGAUAUUUGGUCAAAUAUUUUUCUGGGUGUGUUGGGGAGGGUGUUUCUGGAUGUGAUUCACAUUUAAAUGUAAUGAGUUAGAGUAAAGCAGAUUGCCCUUUCCAAUGCAAGUGGGCCUCAAAAGAUCAGCUGAAGGCCUGAAUACAGCAAAAAGGUUAUUGUCCCCCAAGUAAGAGAAUUGCUGCUGCCUGACUGGCUUCAAGGUAGGACAUUGGCUUCUUCCUGCCUUCAGAUACAAACUGAAACAUUGGCUCUUCCUGGGUCAUGAGCCUGCUGGUCCUCAGACUGGACCUACACUCUAGUAGGUCUCCUACAUGCCAACUCACCCUACAGAUCUUGGGAUUUGUUAGCCUACAUAAUUGUGUGAGCCAAUUCCUCACAAUAAAUCUCUUUCUGUAUAUAUCCUAUUGGUCUGUUUCUCUGAAGAACCCGACUAAUACACUCCCAUAUGAGUCUGAGCCAUGUUCUUACCAUGGCCUACCUCUUCCCUUCUCAUCACUGACUCUGGGAUGUCAGGCUCUUGGCCAUAACAGAUGUUGGUCCACGCUGAGAUGACCUGGAGCACUCUAACAGGAGGCUACCGCUUCAGCACAUAGGACCCCACUCCAGACUCAGCAGGAGCCAGGCAAUGACAAACUAGAGGGGCAGGAGAUACCAACAAGUCACCCUGUGAGAGCUGAUUGUUCCUGGGCUUUCCACCCAUUUUCAAUGUCUAUUUGGACAUUAAGGCCAGGGGCCUCUUGUGAAACAGCAGAAGACAAGGCAUUAGUAGUGCCCCCCCCCCCCGCCCCCGGCAACCCGCAAAGAAAUAUAAUGGGAAAGUCAGCAAGGCCAGGGCCAAUGAUGGAGGGAAAUUUUACAAGGUUAACAUGUAUGGAGAACUCCCUUCAAAUACCACCAGGGAUGAAGAGUUUCCCCGUGGAGCACCAUCUCUCAGUGGGCAGAGGGUGCUGCUGGUAGGAAACUGAUCACUUCCCUUCAGUGAGUGAAUCCAGUGGUCGGGAAGGGAGAUCUCAGGAAUAAAUUGUAAGGGCACUGCCUUCUGUCACAUAUUCAGUCAUUCAAAAAUGUAUUGAACAUCUACCACAUGCCAGGAGUGCAUGAAGUUCUGGAAGUAUUAGAUGAGCAAGGUGUAUCCCCAAGGAGUGCACAGCCUGGCAGCAAGACAGAGAGUGACAGGCCAUUGCGAAAUGACCACAUAUACACCAGAAUGGGUAAAUACAAUUACAGUGGGAACGCAGAGUCAGGGCAGCUAGCCCUCCCUGGGAGGUGGGGCUGGAGGCCUUCCCAGAAGGGACACCAGAAGUGUGUUUUAAAGAAUAAAGUCAGUCAGUCAGAGAAGGGGAGAAGAGGCAAGGAGCAGGGAGGGAGCAGGUACUUCCUGGAAGCUGGUAGAAGGAACAUAAGGCACAAGGGUGGAAUGGUGAGAAAUAGGGCAGAGAGAGAGAGAGUAGGCAGGGGUGGGGUCGUGGUCUGUGUGAUAUACACAGUCCCUGUGUUUGCACAUAUCACAAGCACUGAAGAAUCGAGUCUGAGAUCACAAACUAGCAGACUGGGAGCAGAAGCUGCACUUGGAGAAGUGGCACAGCAACAUCACUGAAGUGUGUUGUGACCCAAACUAAGGUGCAGGACAGAAAAAAAGAGGAGGGAAGGAGCAUAAGAAAUGUCAAGUGAGGGAAAGAUGUAUACACAUGCACCUACAAACAUGCACAACUUAUCAGUAAAAUAUGAAAAAAAUCUUGCUGUCAUUAAUAAAGCAAUAAAAAAUAAAAUGACAUGGUACCUUCUUCCAUCACACAUGGAGUCACACCACUGGUACUUGGCCCUUUGAGUCUAGAAUUUUAAAGAGAGCCCUGGGCAGCAGGCAGGGUUGGGGUAUAUGUGGUAAUUAGAAGCCUCGGCAGUGGAUAAAAUCACCAAGGAAGAGACCACAGAGUGAGGAUGUAAGGCAAAACCCUGGAGAACACUAGCAACUGAGGAGCAUAGAGGUUGAAGAACAGUUCAGGGAGGCUGAGAAGGAAGAGUCAGAGAAGCACGAGGAAAAGCAAGAGAAAGUAAUGUCAUGGAAUUUCGGAGAGGAAGGAAUGCCAAGGAGGAGGAAAUGAUGAAGAGCUUUGAAAGUUGCAGAGACUGCAAGUAAAAUUGACCUUUAGACUGAAAAGUUUCAUUGUAUUUUGAAAUAAGUCAUCAGCGACCUUGCAAGAUGGGUUCAAUGUUUAGUGGGAGGAGAAGCUACAUGGCUGUGACUUGAGGAAGGAAUGAGGGAUGAGGAAGCGCAGAUGAGGAAUCUAGCCACAUUCAAGAUAGCUGGUUGACUUUGGGAAGAAUAAGGUGGUUUUGGAGUUGUAUGGAGACCCCCAGAAUUCAGUUCCUAUUUUCCCCACCAGAAUUCUAAACCAAUCAGGUGGUAGGAUGAGAGCUAGUCAGAUGGAGACCAAAAUGUCACUUUUAUUAGGGAUAAAGCUGACACUGGAAAAGGUGACAUUAAACGUCCAGUAAUAACUUUUCCAAAUGACAAAGACAGACUCACCAAUCACAGGCAGCACUGGGCAUGCCAGGCCUUCCUGCACAGAGGCUGCACCUGGAGAGCUGGAAUCACGUGAGAGCAGAUCAGAAUGAGAGCUUGCUGAUAAGGCUGGCUACGCAGAGGAAGGAAGAGAAGUGAAGAAGAUGAGUCAAAAAGACAUUCCUCCUCUCUGGUGAGAAGCAAUGGGGGAGAAGGGGAAGAGGACCUGUGGCAUUUUAGGGAAAUUCCUCCUCAUAGAAAUAAGGAAUGGGGGCAAACCUAUAACUACUGACCCAGAAGGAGCUAAGUAUAGUUAGCCUGUUUGCAUCUUUGCAAGAGCAUAUGUAUUUGUGUAACCCAGAAUGAUUAUGAGGUAGGACUGGAUAGAAUGGGGCCAUGUUCAGGGGGAGCAACUUCUUGCUGUCUGUAAAGAAGAAAGGUACUGAAAUCAUACAUGGCUUUACUAUUUUUCACAUUUGAUUUUUAACACAUACUCGUUAGAGACUUUUUGCAAAUUAUCUUAGCAUUACAUAGCAACUCUAUCUUG